rnacentral:rRNA from 1 species
CCCUUAGAUGUUCUGGGCCGCACGCGCGCUACACUGAUGCAUUCAACAAGCCUAGCCUUGACCGAGAGGUCCGGGUAAUCUUUGAAACUGCAUCGUGAUGGGGCUAGAUUAUUGCAAUUAUUAAUCUUCAACGAGGAAUGCCUAGUAAGCGUGAUUCAUCAAAUCGCGUUGAUUACGUCCCUGCCCUUUGUACACAUCGCCCGUCGCUCCUACCGAUUGAAUGUGUUGGUGAGGAGCUCGGAUUGGCAGCAGUUGGUGGUUCGCCACCGGCUAUUGCUGAGAAGUCCUCCAAACCGCCCCAUUUAGAGGAAGGAGAANUCGUAACA